UACAGAGGGUGCAACCGUUGCUCGGAAUCACUGGGCGUAAAGCGCACGUAGGCGGCUUUUUAAGUCAGGGGUGAAAUCCUGGAGCUCAACUCCAGAACUGCCUUUGAUACUGAGAAGCUUGAGUCCGGGAGAGGUGAGUGGAACUGCGAGUGUAGAGGUGAAAUUCGUAGAUAUUCGCAAGAACACCAGUGGCGAAGGCGGCUCACUGGCCCGGUACUGACGCUGAGGCACGAAAGCGUGGGGAGCAAACAGG
rnacentral:rRNA from 1 species